GAUGAACGCUGGCGGCGUGCCUAAUACAUGCAAGUCGAGCGAACAGACGAGGAGCUUGCUCCUCUGACGUUAGCGGCGGACGGGUGAGUCACACGUGGAUAACCUACCUAUAAGACUGGGAUCACUUCGGGAAACCGGAUCUAAUACCGGAUAAUAUAUUGAACCGCAUGGUUCAAUAGUGAAAGACGGUUUUGCUGUCACUUAUAGAUGGAUCCGCGCCGCAUUAGCUAGUUGGUAAGGUAACGGCUUACCAAGGCAACGAUGCGUAGCCGACCUGAGAGGGUGAUCAGCCACACUGGAACUGAGACACGGUCCAGACUCCUACGGGAGGCAGCAGUAGGGAAUCUUCCGCAAUGGGCGAAAGCCUGACGGAGCAACGCCGCGUGAGUGAUGAAGGUCUUCGGAUCGUAAAACUCUGUUAUUAGGGAAGAACAAAUGUGUAAGUAACUAUGCACGUCUUGACGGUACCUAAUCAGAAAGCCACGGCUAACUACGUG
rnacentral:rRNA from 1 species